AUGACACCCAAGUUUUUCUUGGCAGAAGUUAUCAUUCCUGGCAAACAGUUCACUGCGGCUCUAAUUAUGAUGACAGCUUUAAUGGAGAAGAUAAUCAUAUUAAAUGGUUCUUAUUCCAUUCCGUGGGAUGAAUUAGUGACUGCCAUGAGAUGUGUUCAACAGCCAAAAGUAAAGAGAAAGGGAGAUGUGCUGUUCCUGAGAAGAUAUUGUCCCCACUGGAGUUGAAGGAGAUGAAGAGGGUUCCAUGUCAGAGGACUGGCUGUGUGUCAUUGCAGUGCAGACACAAGAAAAAACUCG
rnacentral:lncRNA from 1 species